rnacentral:rRNA from 1 species
AACGAACGCUGGCGGCAGGCUUAACACAUGCAAGUCGAACGCGUGUAGCAAUACACGAGUGGCGCACGGGUGAGUAACACGUGGAUAUCUGCCUUUUGGUUCGGAAUAACUCCGGGAAACUGGAGCUAAUACCGGAUGGUUCCUACGGGAUAAAGAUUUAUCGCCAAAAGAUGAGUCCGCGCACGAUUAGCUAGUUGGUGAGGUAAUGGCUCACCAAGGCGACGAUCGUUAGCUGGUCUGAGAGGACGAUCAGCCACACUGGGACUGAGACACGGCCCAGACUCCUACGGGAGGCAGCAGUGGGGAAUAUUGGACAAUGGGGGCAACCCUGAUCCAGCCAUGCCGCGUGAGUGAUGAAGGCCUUCGGGUUGUAAAGCUCUUUUGGCGGGGACGAUGAUGACGGUACCCGCAGAAUAAGCCCCGGCUAACUUCGUGCCAGCAGCCGCGGUAAAAC